GAGUUUGAUCAUGGCUCAGAUUGAACGCUGGCGGCAUGCCUUACACAUGCAAGUCGAACGGUAACGGGUUAAGCCGACGAGUGGCGAACGGGUGAGUAAUAUAUCGGAACGUGCCCAAUCGUGGGGGAUAACGCAGCGAAAGUUGUGCUAAUACCGCAUAAGAUCUACGGAUGAAAGCGGGGGAUCGCAAGACCUCGCGCGAGUGGAGCGGCCGAUAUCAGAUUAGCUAGUUGGUGAGGUAAAGGCUCACCAAGGCGACGAUCUGUAGCUGGUCUGAGAGGACGACCAGCCACACUGGGACUGAGACACGGCCCAGACUCCUACGGGAGGCUGCAGUGG
rnacentral:rRNA from 1 species